CGAGCACGCGCGUGUGGCAUAUCAAUAAGCGGAGGAAAAGAAACUAACAAGGAUUCCCCUAGUAACGGCGAGUGAAGCGGGAAGAGCUCAAAUUUGAAAUCUUCAAGGUUUUACCUUGACGAAUUGUAGUUUAAAGAAGUGUUUUCGGUUAGAGGAGUAGUAAAAGUUCUUUGGAAUAGGACAUCAUAGAGGGUGAGAAUCCCGUAUUUGACUAGUUACUUUCUAGCUUUGUGAUACACUUUCAAAGAGUCGGAUUGUUUGGGAAUGCAGUCCAAAAUGGGUGGUAAAUUUCAUCUAAAGCUAAAUAUUGGCGAGAGACCGAUAGCGAACAAGUACCGUGAGGGAAAGAUGAAAAGAACUUUGAAAAGAGAGUUAAACAGUACGUGAAAUUGUCAAAAGGGAAGCGUUUGACACCAGUGUUGUUUUUCCGAAAAUCAAUUACGAAUGUUUUGUUUUUGAGGAGUUAUGACUUCAUCGGCUUGCUCCUUUCUUUACGAAACUUUCUUAAUGCAGCUUUUCGGUUAACAAGUCAACAUCAAUUUCUUUUGUUGUAAAAGGGUAUGAGGAAGGUGGCUCUCUUUUCGGAGAAAGUGUUUAUAGCCUUGUACCUCUGCAGUCGGAGAGAUUGAGGUCUGCAGCGUAGAUCCUUCGGGGUUAGAUACGUUUGUGCUAAGUUAUAGCUUUUCAUAGACAACUUGUUGACUAUGUUUAGUCUUGUAGCUUACUCGCUGACGCUAUUUUACCUACGCUUAGGAUGUUGAUGUGAUACUGCGAGCA
rnacentral:rRNA from 1 species